GUGCUCACAUCCCUCAUCCCUGGCUGUCUGCGCUUCCCCUCUUUCAGAACCUGAUACCUCUGCCGAGUGAUGCAUGAGAUGCACAGUUGGGUGCUUGGGGCAACACUGUGACACUUGGAUUACCAAUUGGGAGCCCCACGUUCUUAUCCUAUUUCCAUUUUCUAUUUUGUGUGCCCUGGGAAAGACACCUCAUUUCCUAAUGAAGAACAGAGAGGAGUCACCAUCCUCCUCCUCAACAGCAGAAGAAAAGAGAGAGACAGCUACACAAACCUACUGAGGUUGAAGCCAGUCAACCAAGCAUAGUCUGUGAUGUUCCAUUUGUACUAAAUGAGGUCAUCUCUGAACCCCAUAAGUCAUCCAGAAAAGACCACGGGCUGCUAACUUGGACCAAUCAAAAUCUGUACCUGGAUUAGAUGGACUGUGUGUUUUCAGCCACUUUCUGCUAGCUUGGAGCAAAUGCAUGGACAUUCUCCUUUGGAGACAGGCUAUGGAUGGAGUCAAAGAACUUAAGAUGAAGGGGUCUACCAGGAAGAUUACUAACUAACGCCGAUCAGGCGAUUCCCGAUUGACUGGUUUAAGAUUGCAUUUUUGAAGGAGUUGAAACUGCAUGAACUAAGCUACCAGAUUGAAGCUCCAUUAAACUAGAAAGGCUUGAAUCCAUGGACUGCUUUCAAAUCCAUCUCACGGGAUCCUAACAUUGGGCCAUCCUCAAGCAGAUGCUACCUGAUUUGUGCUCCGGCUAAUGUCACUCAUGUCAACAGCAUUGCCAAAUGCAAUGAGGUGUGACUGACACCAGGAAAGAUGAUGAGCAACGAGAAUGGCAGCUGGCUGCAUUUCCUUCUUGUAGAAUUUUAAUGAAUCAAGGAGCACCCUGAUAGAGUACAUCCGUACUUGCUAGAAGCAAAGCUGAAUGCUCUCAUCCCCAACUCUGAGAUCUGAGAAACCCAAAGAGGGCUCCACCCUCAUGAUAGGGCUAGAUGGGUCCUGAAUAGAGGAUGAGGACUGAGGAAUAUAAGAAACAGCCACAGGAGAAGACUACAGCCAUUGGGAAAACUGCGGAGAGGUGGGAAAGAAACCUGAGUUCUCUCUCACUCUGUCCUACUCAUUAGUUUUGUGACUUAGGCUAAUUAUUUGUCUUAUUGGGACUCUAUUUUUUAAUGUAAGCAAACACGGAGGCUAUCUUAAGUAAAGACAAUAAAAUAAGUUGUUUAUUUCAAGGAUGCACAGGCAUUUCACGGAAGUCAAAGGGAGAAACACACAGUCUCGUGAGUACUGGGUAAAGGAGCUACAAUGCCACUGCGUGCCUAGGAGGAAAACGUUUUCCUCUUUCCUCAUUGCUUCCUUCUGUGAAUCUGCUUCUUUCUCACUUCAGUCAAUCAUUUUUUUGCUACCUAGUAUGCCUGGUGGAAUAACCCAAGUUUGAAUGGUAUAGGUCCAGCCACAAGGAACAACCGAUUCUCAAUUCUUAUUUCUGCGCCCGAUUCCCAGUCAAAGAUCUGAGCAGCCUAGCUAGUGCCAGGUGUCUUCCCCAGACCCCCAAAGGAUUAACAGAGUAUACAUCAAUUCUAGAUACCAUGCCUGGGGCCUAGUUCUAUGGCCCAAUAGAAGGCAGGUCCAUCCCUGUCACAAAGGGACUGUUUGUGAGCUGAGACAACACUUUCAAAGGUAUCCCAUUAGCUUACGUAACUUUACUCCCUCAAUAUUAAAAUCUGCCUUUUCUUUCCUCAUGAGGUUUUUAAGUCUUAAAUAAUACCAUGUCUGGGGGAAAAUGUGGAAUUCAAAUGACAUUCCAUCUGUCAGGUACUAGCUUUAACCUUAAAUCACCCCAUAAGUCAGGUGUAAAGCAGUCAUAUUUAAACCUAUAUCCUCUAGAUCCCCAAGUUGUAGCCUUCCUUUCACAGAUACCUGGAGGUCAAUGUCAUUGCCAGAAAAAAAGAAAAAGCUUUCCUAGUGUGAACAUUAUAGGUCUUAGAGUUCACUGACAAGCCAGAACAUUCUUCCUUUUCUAGGUUUGUAAUUAAUUCCCCUGUUUGCAUUAUGUAAAUAGUGCUUUGUAUAAUUUCAU
ensembl:lncRNA